rnacentral:rRNA from 1 species
CAUAAUCAUUAGUUUUUUAAUUGGAAACUCGUAUGAAUGGUUAAACAAAAGAAUUUCUGUCUCUUUAUUUGACAUUGAAUUUAACUUUUAAGUGAAAAGGCUUAAAUUUUUUAAGGGGACGAUAAGACCCUAUAAAGCUUUAUAAUGAAAUUACAUUUUUUAAAUAUAAUUUAUAAAGAUAAAUAAAAUUACUUUAUUUUGUUGGGGCGACAUAUAUAUAAAUAUUUCAUAUAACUGUUAUAAUAUAAAUACAUAAAUUUUUGAAUAGAGUAAAUGAUCCUUACUGAAGAUUAAAAGACUAAGUUACUUUAGGGAUAACAGCGUUAUUUCUUUUGAGAGUUCUUAUUGAAAAAGAAGUUUGCGACCUCGAUGUUGAAUUAAAAAAUCUUUAUAGUGCAGCCGCUAUAAGAAG